rnacentral:tRNA from 1 species
GCCUGGGUGGCUCAGUUGGUUAAGCGUCUGACUUCGGCUCAGGUCAUGAUCUCGCGGUCCGUGGGUUCGAGCCCCACGUUGGGCU